CAGCACUGAUGUACAACAUCCAAGUAACAGAAACCCUCAUAUACUACAAAUGAAUGUAAACAAUAUCAAGAAAGGCCAGGGGGUCACUCUGGAUCCACUGAGCACACAUGAAGAUGCAAAAACAGCUGCCAGACGCUUCAGAAAAUGGUUUGCGAUCUCCACUAAGAGCAAGAUGAAGAGACAAAAUGACAACAAUGGUCUCUCCGUUCAGGAAUCUUGUCACAGCACCAAACAGGAAGGACUGUUAUGUGGCAAAAGGUUCUGAAUCAAAAAGGCCAAAAAGAGUGAAGGCCACAAAAAGCUGGAAACCACAAGCGGAUUAGAAAAACCUCAUGUCAGCAUCUACAUAUGAACCGUUUCAAGACCCAGGUGAUAAAUCCAAACAUGAGAUAAGAAGAGGACUUCUACCCACUGCAAAGUCUCUAGGUAAACAUUUUCCCUCUCCUGUGUGUUUAAUGCAGCCGGUUUGACAACAACACGAGGAGAUGGGACAGACAAACAGUCGACAACGAGCUGCCACAAACACACGUGUGCUGGUUCACAUUUGUAUGCAGGAAAUCUGCAGCAAAACUGGACUAUAAUAAGAGGAGAAAAAGAAGAAAUGCAUGUCUUGUUUCAGACAGCAGUUUCUAAAUGAUCUUGUUUCAAAACAAGAACAAAAACUCCAGGAGACAGGUGUGUGUGUGUGUGUGUGUGUGUGUGUGUGUGUGUGUGUGUGUGUGUGUGUGUGUGUACGUGUCUGAGUGUAUAAAGGAAGCAAAAAUAAUUAAUUACUGUAUGAAAGCAGUGACUUUACAUUGUUUGAAGAGCGUCUAAACUUAGACUGAACUACCAGUAAACUGUAGGCACCACAUUAACAAUUUCUUCCCGUUUAUUCUGUUUGUAUCCUGCUUAUUGUUCUGUGUCACGAUCAGCUUCAUGAUUCUAGUUUGCAUUGAACACAGUUCCAAGUACCUCCAAGUGUGCAAAUCUAUGACAAAGCUACACAUAAAGAAUAUCACUUUUUAUACAUUCCUUACCCAGCAUUCAACAAUCAAACACCAAAAAAUUUCUUAAACACUUUAUUUAAACAAUAAAUUAUGAAAAUACACCUGAUUGCAGACAUUUAGAAAAUCUUCUUUCAUCAUUGAAGGUCUUCUAGUGACUCUUCAACAAACAACCUUUCUAUACGAAAAAAAAGAAGAAGAAUUAAAUCACCAAUUUGUCAGGUAUAAUAUUAUCUCCACUGUGGUUAAUCAGUAACAUUUGCAAAAGUUUAUGUAAAGUAAGAUUUCUGUGUGCUGUUUGCUUUUAUUGCUGAGUUGGAUUUCAGUUGUCUCGUUACAUUCACCAACACUUAAGAGAAUUAGCAAUAAUCAGUCUGACAUGAUGCCUGUCUUUUCUGUUAUUAGACCUUGUGUGGAUGUUGUUCUUAUACUAGAAGUUCAUACAGUCUGAAAUUGUUGUCUCAGCCACUGAAGGACACACUGAACUGAAGAAAACCCAUGAAUGACUCCAUCUGCAUAAAAAAAUGUCUCUUGUUACCUAAUUUAGAUCAAUAUGACGGUAGAUUUGUUAUUUCUUAUGUUUUUUUCUACCAUAAAGCUACACAAAUGUUUGAGUA